rnacentral:rRNA from 1 species
ACGGGGUGCAGCAGGCGCGAAACCUCCACAAUGCGCGAAAGCGUGAUGGGGUUAUCCCGAGUGCCGUCCGAUGAGGAUGGCUUUUUAUCGAUGUAAGGAUUCGAUAGAAUAAAGGGGGGGCAAGACUGGUGUCAGCCGCCGCGGUAAUACCAGCCCCCUGAGUGGUAAGGACGAUUAUUUGGCCUAAAGCGUUCGUAGCCGGCUUAUCAAGUCUUUUGUUAAAUCCAACGAUUCAAUCGUUGGGCCGCAAAAGAUACUGUUAUGCUAGAGGACGGGAGAGGUCGACGGUAGUCCAGGGGUAGGGGUGAAAUCCUAUAAUCCUUGGAGGACCACCAGUGGCGAAGGCGGUCGACUAGAACGUGCCUGACGGUGAGGGACGAAAGCUGGGGGAGCGAACCGGAUUAGAUACCCGGGUAGUCCCAGCUGUAAACGAUGCGGGCUAGGUGUUGGGGCAGCCACGAGCUGCUCCAGUGCCGCAGAGAAGUUGUUAAGCCCGCCGCCUGGGAGUACGCCGCAAGGC